AGAGCGUAGGCAGGAAACCAAUCAAUACCUGACGCUGAGGCACGAAAGCUAGGGGAGAGAAGCAGAUUAGAGACCUGCGUAUUCCUAGCUGUAAACGCAUGAGUGCUAGUUGUCCGGCCGUAAGGCUGGAUGACGCAAGUUAACACGUUAAGCACUCCGCCUGGGGAGUACGGCCGCAAGGCUAAAACUCAAAGGAAUUGGCGGGGACCCGCACAACCGGUGGAGCAUGUGGUUUAAUUCGAGACGAAGCGAAAGACCUCACCACGGUUUGACAUGCUACCGUUUAAUCUGAUAGAAACAUCGGAAGAUCCCGAUUUAUCGGGAUGGUAGCAAAGCUGCUGCAUGGCUGUCGUCAGCUCGUUCCGUGAGGAGUUCCCUUAAGUGGGGUAACGAGCGCAACCCUUGCCGUUUGUUAAAUAUUCAAACGGGACGGUCCCGACGUACGUCGGGAAGGAAGGUGAGGACGACGUCAAGUCAGCACGGCGCUUAUGCCGUGGGCGACACACAUCCUACAAUGGCGAAAAACAGCGGGUUGCAACCUCGUGAGGGGAAGCAAAUCCCUGAAAUUUCGUCUCAGUUGGGAUUGGAGUCUGCAACUCGACUCCAUGAACGCGGAAUCGGUAGUAAUCGCGGAUCAGCAGGUCGCGGUGAAUACGUUCUCGGGUCUUGCACACACCGCCCGUCAAGCCAACAAAGUCGUGGGCGGCCGAAGCUCCCCCGCAUCGCGGGGGAAUUAAGCCGAAUUCGGCGAUGGGGACUAAGUCGUAACAAGGUAUCUGUACUGGAAGGUGCAGAUG
rnacentral:rRNA from 1 species